rnacentral:rRNA from 1 species
UACGGGGGGAGCAAACGUUGUUCGGAAUUACUGGGCGUAAAGGGCGCGUAGGCGGUCCUGUAAGUGGUGUGUGAAAUCCGAUGGCUCAACCAUCGAGCUGCGCUCCAAACUGCAGGACUUGAGUACAGCAGAGGAAAGUGGAAUUCCCGGUGUAGCGGUGAAAUGCGUAGAUAUCAGGAGGAACACCGGUGGCGAAGGCGGGUCUCUGGGCAGUAACUGACGCUGAGGAGCGAAAGCGUGGGGAGCGAACAGG